AAAAUUCUUAGAUGUUUUUAUGGGACGAGAAGACCCUAUAGAGUUUGACAUUUUUGUUUACUAUUUUUAUGUGUUGUGUUUUUUAUUUUUAGUGAGAUUGAGUGUUUUGUUGGGGUGAUGGGAGGAAUUUUUUUAACUCCUCUUUGAUUUUUGUAUAUUUAUUUAUAUUUUCUUGAUCCAUUUAUUGUGAUUAUAAGAUUAAAUUACCUUAGGGAUAACAGCGUUAUCUUCCUUGAGAGUUCUUAUUGGCGGGAAGGAUUGCGACCUCGAUGUUGGAUUAAGGUUAAUUUUCGGUGCAGAGGCUGAAAAUGAUUAGGUCUGUUCGACCUUUAAAAUCUUACAUGAUCUGAGUUCAGACCGGCGUGAGCCAGGUUGGUUUCUAUCUAUAAUUGUUUAUUAUACCUUAGUACGAGAGGACCGGGUAU
rnacentral:rRNA from 1 species